GCAGUGGUAAUUCAGUGGUAGAGUUCUCGUCUUCUGUGAGGGAGACCCAGCUUCAAUUCCUGGCCAAUGUA
rnacentral:tRNA from 1 species